UACAGAGGAGCCAAGCGUUGUCCGGAUUGACUGGGCGUAAAGCGUGCGCAGGCGGUUUUGUAAGUCUGUCGUGAAAGCCCCGGGCUCAACCUGGGAAUUGCGAUGGACGACUGCAAGGCUUGAAUCCGGCAGAGGGGGGGUAGAAUUCCACGUGUAGCAGUGAAAUGCGUAGAGAUGUGGAGGAACACCGAUGGCGAAGGCAGCCCCCUGGGUCAAGAUUGCGCUCAGGCACGAAAGCGUGGGGAGCAAACAGG
rnacentral:rRNA from 1 species